rnacentral:lncRNA from 1 species
AAUAAUGAAGAUUAUUUUUUUUAGGAAAACAGGAGGGUGCGAGCCCCUAGUGUGCUUUUAUUAGAAGAGUAUAAAAGUUUACAACAAACAUCAUGAUACAAAAAAGGUUACAAAGAAGACCAAAUCAAUUACACAUGAUUCUAGCCAUUGACUAAUAAAAGGUUCAUAAUUCUUCUUUGCUCGAAGGAUAACUUUUAAGUGCCUUCUUGCAUUUUGAAUGGUCGGCUGAAUAUGCCUUAAGAUCGCAUCAUUUCUAACCGACGAGAUGGUCCAACACAUGGAAAGGAAUGGCUGACUGAUUUUCUGAAAGAGGUGAUUGUUUGAAAGGGAUUGGUAGAGUCUUCAAUGGUUAAACCCAAAGUGGCCCAACAGUCCACUGCAAAGAACAUUAUUACAUUAGCAUUAGUCACCAAUGAAAAGAUCCUCUCUCGUCUCCUUCGGUGCGCGUUGAAGUCAAAAUCUUUGGAGAAAAAAAACUGAUGAUCCCAAGAUGGAGACGAGAGAUAUAUGGUGACCCAAUUUGAUCCCCAGUAAAUACCAACCGAAGCUAUUUCCUACCUGCUCUCCUAUCUCCUUCCGCUCCUCACACAGCAGGCUUGAUUUUUUCCCCCCAAGAAGAUGGAGACUGCCAUCUCUGCAGUGAUUGGCGAGGUCGUGAGCCAGUUCAUCUCCUUCCUUAUGAGCAAAUACUCCAACAACGCAGCCUCAGAGGAGCAAAAGAUGGGGAGACUGCAGCAUCUGCUCCUGAGGGUUCGGACAGUCGUCGAGGAGGCAGACGGGCGGCACAUCACCAACUCAGGGAUGGUGGAACAGCUUCAGGUGCUCGCAGACGCCAUGUACCGAGGCUACCGCCUGCUCGACAGCUUCAGCUGUGGAGGAAGGCCUAAUAAUCCUUUGAUGAUGGAGGAGGUUAAGGUUAGCAACACAUCUGCCUCCUUGUCUUUGCAAAGCCCUCGUCCCAAACGUUGCCGUACGAUUACCCUUGGAAGGAAGGGCAAGGCCGUUAUUGACCUUGAUCAGUCGUCGUUGGAUGAAACACUGGACAGGUUAGAAACUGCUGCUGCUCACAUGGCAGAAUUUGUUGUGCUUUUGGGUGGCUGUGAACGCUUGUCGCGUCGACCAUACGACGCACAUCUCUACAUCGACAAUUUCAUGUUUGGGCGUCAUGCUGAAAAGCAAAGGCUCCUCAACUUCUUGUUGGAUCAGAACAAUUCAGCCACUGGUUCACCGCCGCCGGUUCUUUCGGUGAUCGGCGGUCCUUCGGUAGGAAAAAGAACUCUGGUCGCUCAUGUAUGCAGUGACAAGAGAGUUACUUCGCACUUCUCUUUGAUUUUACACUUGAAUGAAGGUGAUCUUUUUAGAGUACAAGAAGAACAUGAAAGCAGGCGAGCGGCGGAGGGCAAGGUCUUGAUAGUUGUGGAGUUUGAUUCAGUAGUGGACGAGGAGGACUGGGUAAAAUUUUAUUCGUCUGUGACAAAUCUGAAGAAAGGGAGCAAGGUGGUGAUCAUCAGCAACCUUAGAAAAUUUGACACAUUUGCAACUGUUAAGCCAAUUUUUCUCAGUACCCUGCCAUAUGCGGAGUUCAGGUACCUCUUCAAGAUACUCGCAUUCGGAAGCACAAACCCCAUGGAACAUCCUCAGCUGUUAAAGAUUGUCGACGAAUUAUCCAAGGAGUUGCAACUGGGGUGGUCACUUGUCACAGCAAAUGCACUUGGAGAAGCCUUGAGAACGAAUCUCGAUGUACGUUUCUGGCUUUGCAUGCUAAACAGGAUUAGGAGAACAUCUGAGAGAAACAUGUCCGUUUUUGGCGCGUAUCCUAGAGCACUCGCUGAACGGGGUGAUCAUGUAGACAUGACAGACCUAGAGUUAACCCCUGGUGCUCCAUUUCACUUCGUGUGGAGUAGAAAAGCCCAUGAUAUCUCAGUGAAGAAGGAACUACCAAAGGUGACAGUUCGAGAACUUAUGGUAGAUCCUACUGCUAGGCCAAAAGGGGAGUUCAUUAUGAUUAUAUGGCAAUCAAGGAUACCCCCUCACACUUGUUUUGGUCACUUUGUUCCAAAUUGUGAUCAGGGUAUGCGUCAGCAUGUUCUCUUGUCAGGGAGGAAACGUCGAGGACUGCCUUUAUAGCGUGCAUCUGGUGUAGUAGGAGUAAUUUUAUUAUGAUUCUGUGAUAUAUUUUUUCCCAUUUCUCCUAUAUUUCAGAUAUCUAAAUUUAAGAAGAUUUUUAGGUAACACUACUCUUGUACUACAAACUAGUACAAGUAAACUGUUAUUUUUUAUUGUUAUUUGUCUUUGUGACAUAAUAACAUAUCAAAUUUUAUCCUUGUCUAACUAUGAAAAUAACUAUAAAUUGCCAACACAUAUCAGAUUUUAUCGGAUUUGUAGUUUUGUCUAAAGGUUUUUUUAUUCUGGGAACAAAAAUUUACUUCAGAAACUACAAUAAACUAAAACUAUAAUUUUAGUAUAAAAAAUAUAUGCAAUAAUCUAUACCUAUCUAUAAAGAGCUAAAAUUUCAGUCUACCUUUUUUUUCUGCCAAUCUCCAGUCCGUUUUGGUAUGGAUGGCAAAGUCCAACACAGAUACGGUAGGGAGACUGCAACGUCCGGUGCAAAUACGGUAGGGAGACUGACCUCCUGCGUUUUUCCAUAUCUAAAAAAACCCGAAGCUAAACCUAGACAUCCCCCGCCGUGUCCGCAUCUGCAUCCGCAACUCCGCAAUCCGACACAGCACCCCACAAGAGAAGAUUCAAAAAUCAAAACAAAUCCAGAAAACAACGGGGGCACGAGACAUGAACCACCUGAGAACCAAGAAGAAAGGAUACACACACACACAUUAUAUAUAUAUAUAUAUAUAUAAAAUCCUCCAAGAUCUUUUUUCCUAUUCUGGUUUAGCAGCCAACGCUUUCUGAGAUCUUGGCCUAAUUUUGCGAGAGUGUAGAGGCAACCGACCUUUGCGAGUUUCCUUGAUUCACCUUUCCCAGACCGCCUGCCUGACCGAAACCAAACCCACCCUUUCCGCACCCAGCCGGCCAGCCAGCCCACGGAGGUCCUCAGCCCACCACCAGCUGGCGACGACCACUCCGCUAGCAGGGCGCCAUCGCG